GAUUGAACGCUGGCGGUAUGCUUAACACAUGCAAGUCGAACGGAAACGAUACUAGCUUGCUAGUAGGCGUCGAGUGGCGGACGGGUGAGUAACGCGUAGGAAUCUGCCUGAUAGUGGGGGAUAGCCCGAAGAAAUUCGGAUUAAUACCGCAUAAUCUAUUCGUAGUAAAGUGGGGGACUUUCGAGCCUCACGCUAUCAGAUGAGCCUGCGUAAGAUUAGCUUGUUGGUAGGGUAAAAGCCUACCAAGGCGACGAUCUUUAGCUGGUCUGAGAGGAUGAUCAGCCACAUCGGGACUGAGACACGGCCCGAACUCCUACGGGAGGCAGCAGUGGGGAAUAUUGGACAAUGGGGGCAACCCUGAUCCAGCAAUACCGCGUGUGUGAAGAAGGCCUGAGGGUUGUAAAGCACUUUCAAUUGUGAAGAAAAGUUAGCGGUUAAUAACCGUUAGCCUUGACGUUAACUUUAGAAGAAGCACCGGCUAACUCCGUGCCAGCAGCCGCGGUAAUACGGAGGGUGCAAGCGUUAAUCGGAAUUACUGGGCGUAAAGCGUGCGUAGGCGGUUUAUUAAGUCAGAUGUGAAAGCCCCGGGCUUAACCUGGGAACUGCAUUUGAAACUGGUCAACUAGAGUAUGGUAGAGGAAAGUGGAAUUUCUGGUGUAGCGGUGAAAUGCGUAGAUAUCAGAAGGAACAUCAAUGGCGAAGGCAGCUUUCUGGACCAAUACUGACGCUGAGGUACGAAAGCGUGGGUAGCAAACAGGAUUAGAUACCCUGGUAGUCCACGCCGUAAACGAUGAUAACUAGCCGUUGGGGGGAUUUACCCUUUAGUGGCGAAGCUAACGCGUUAAGUUAUCCGCCUGGGGAGUACGGCCGCAAGGUUAAAACUCAAAGGAAUUGACGGGGACCCGCACAAGCGGUGGAGCAUGUGGUUUAAUUCGAUGCAACGCGAAGAACCUUACCUGGUCUUGACAUCCUGCGAACUUUCUAGAAAUAGAUUGGUGCCUUCGGGAACGCAGUGACAGGUGCUGCAUGGCUGUCGUCAGCUCGUGUCGUGAGAUGUUGGGUUAAGUCCCGUAACGAGCGCAACCCCUAUCCUUAUUUGCCAGCACGUCAUGGUGGGAACUAUAAGGAGACUGCCGGUGAUAAACCGGAGGAAGGCGGGGACGACGUCAAGUCAUCAUGGCCCUUACGACCAGGGCUACACACGUGCUACAAUGGGAAGGACAAAGAGCCGCGAAGCCGCGAGGUGUAGCUAAUCUCAUAAACCUUUUCGUAGUCCGGAUUGGAGUCUGCAACUCGACUCCAUGAAGUCGGAAUCGCUAGUAAUCGUAGAUCAGAAUGCUACGGUGAAUACGUUCCCGGGUCUUGUACUCACCG
rnacentral:rRNA from 1 species